rnacentral:rRNA from 1 species
GAUGAACGCUAGCUACAGGCUUAACACAUGCAAGUCGAGGGGCAGCAUUUUAGUUUGCUUGCAAACUGAAGAUGGCGACCGGCGCACGGGUGAGUAACACGUAUCCAACCUGCCGAUAACUCCGGAAUAGCCUUUCGAAAGAAAGAUUAAUACCGGAUAGCAUACGAAUAUCGCAUGAUAUUUUUAUUAAAGAAUUUCGGUUAUCGAUGGGGAUGCGUUCCAUUAGUUUGUUGGCGGGGUAACGGCCCACCAAGACUACGAUGGAUAGGGGUUCUGAGAGGAAGGUCCCCCACAUUGGAACUGAGACACGGUCCAAACUCCUACGGGAGGCAGCAGUGAGGAAUAUUGGUCAAUGGGCGAGAGCCUGAACCAGCCAAGUAGCGUGAAGGAUGAAGGCUCUAUGGGUCGUAAACUUCUUUUAUAUGGGAAUAAAGUUUUCCACGUGUGGAAUUUUGUAUGUACCAUAUGAAUAAGGAUCGGCUAACUCCGUGCCAGCAGCCGCGGUAAUACGGAGGAUCCGAGCGUUAUCCGGAUUUAUUGGGUUUAAAGGGAGCGUAGGUGGAUUGUUAAGUCAGUUGUGAAAGUUUGCGGCUCAACCGUAAAAUUGCAGUUGAAACUGGCAGUCUUGAGUACAGUAGAGGUGGGCGGAAUUCGUGGUGUAGCGGUGAAAUGCUUAGAUAUCACGAAGAACUCCGAUUGCGAAGGCAGCUCACUAGACUGUCACUGACACUGAUGCUCGAAAGUGUGGGUAUCAAACAGGAUUAGAUACCCUGGUAGUCCACACAGUAAACGAUGAAUACUCGCUGUUUGCGAUAUACAGUAAGCGGCCAAGCGAAAGCAUUAAGUAUUCCACCUGGGGAGUACGCCGGCAACGGUGAAACUCAAAGGAAUUGACGGGGGCCCGCACAAGCGGAGGAACAUGUGGUUUAAUUCGAUGAUACGCGAGGAACCUUACCCGGGCUUAAAUUGCAACAGAAUAUAUUGGAAACAGUAUAGCCGUAAGGCUGUUGUGAAGGUGCUGCAUGGUUGUCGUCAGCUCGUGCCGUGAGGUGUCGGCUUAAGUGCCAUAACGAGCGCAACCCUUAUCUUUAGUUACUAACAGGUUAUGCUGAGGACUCUAGAGAGACUGCCGUCGUAAGAUGUGAGGAAGGUGGGAAUGACGUCAAAUCAGCACGGCCCUUACGUCCGGGGCUACACACGUGUUACAAUGGGGGGUACAGAAGGCGGCUACCUGGUGACAGGAUGCUAAUCCCAAAAACCUCUCUCAGUUCGGAUCGAAGUCUGCAACCCGACUUCGUGAAGCUGGAUUCGCUAGUAAUCGCGCAUCAGCCAUGGCGCGGUGAAUACGUUCCCGGGCCU